CCCUUUGUGAACUUUACCUUACGUUGCCUCGGCGGUCACGCCCCGGGGCCCCCAGGGCCCGGACCGAGGCCGCCGGCGGAGACCCCAAACCCUCUGUCUUUAGUGGUUUUCUCCUCUGAGUGACAUAAUCAAAUAAAUAAAAACUUUCAACAACGGAUCUCUUGGUUCUGGCAUCGAUGAAGAACGCAGCGAAAUGCGAUAAGUAAUGUGAAUUGCAGAAUUCAGUGAAUCAUCGAAUCUUUGAACGCACAUUGCGCCCUCUGGUAUUCCGGAGGGCAUGCCUGUUCGAGCGUCAUUUCAACCCUCAAGCCUCCGUUGCCUGGCGUUGGGGAUCGGCGCGGCGUCCCUCCGGGGCGUGCCGGCCCCGAAAUUCAGUUAAUGUCUCGCUGUAGCCCUCCUCCGCGUAGUAGCACAACCUCGCGGCCUGGAGCUCGGCGGUGUGGCCAUGCCGUAAAACACCCCACUUCUGAACCUCGGGUCCUCGGAUCGUAGGAAUAUACCCGCUGAACUUAAGCAUAUCAAUAAGCGGAGGAAUACGGAGAGA
rnacentral:rRNA from 1 species